CUAGAACCGCGGGAGCUUCCGUCCCUGAGUAGAAUUCGAGGGUGUAAAGAAGAGGAAGGGGAAAAAUAUCUUGUACCAGCCCAGGGGUGAAGAAGCCCCCGGCCUGAGAAAGAAGGAGUGGGGGAGGCGAACAGUCUCGUUGCUGCCUCUGUGUACGCUGAGGGGGGAGGCUGGAGUGCAAUGGCGCGAUCUCAGCUCACUGCAACCUCCACCUUCCGGGUUCAAGCGAUUCUCCUGCCUCAGCCUCCCGAGUAGCUGGGAUUACAGGCGCCUGCCACCACGCCCGGCAAUUUUUUUUGUAUUUUUAGUAGAAAUGGGGUUUCACCAUGUUGGCCAGGCUGGUCUUGAACUCCUGACCUCAGGUGAUCCACCUUCCUUAGCCUCCCAAAGUGCUGGGAUUACAGGCGUAAGCCACCGUGCCCAGCCUGAAAUAUAAUUCUUAAUGAAAAGGGGAAUGCAUCUUUCCAGACUGAGUGUCGAAGAAACAAGUUUAAUCAAAAUCUCUUCUGCUGUGUGUUUCCCUUUGGUGCCUCCAUCCUUUGGUGCAGAGAUACAAGCCGAUAUACUCCAACUAAUCCCCUCAGGCCACAGCAUGGGAGCAAACCCACCCUCUUUGCAUGCAGGGCACAGCACACACCUAACCAGGCUGCAAAUUAUAGCUGUUGAAUUGUGCCAUCAGGAAAUGACAGUUGCCUUCAUAGCCAUCAGAAGUGGAUUUGCUAUGAAGAGCAGCCCACUGUGGGAGACACUGAUGGCCCUCGCUGACUCUAGAGUGGAGUGAAUUGCUACCUUGCUGACCAGGAAAUGAUCGAUGCCUGGCACCUGGCAGUGAAUGGGGCGUCCUGCAAUGAUCCGCACGCGCCUGUUCUCAGAAAUUUGCAGCACAAUGUUGUUAUCCAAGACAUACAAUGAAUUGUCCAUAGGAUUUACUGCAAGGUCUGUUGGCCACUCUAAUCGCACCUGUGAAAAGAACAGAGCACAUACCA
rnacentral:sRNA from 1 species